rnacentral:rRNA from 1 species
AGAAUCAACGCUGGCGGCGUGCCUAACACAUGCAAGUCGCACGAGAAAGGGUAGCAAUACCUGAGUAAAGUGGCGCACGGGUGAGUAACACGUGAAUGAUCUACCUCCGAGUGGGGAAUAACUGAGAGAAAUCUUAGCUAAUACCGCAUAACACUUACGAGUCAAAGCAGCAAUGCGCUUGGAGAGGAGUUCGCGGCCGAUUAGUUAGUUGGCGGGGUAAUGGCCCACCAAGACGAUGAUCGGUAUCCGGCCUGAGAGGGCGCACGGACACACUGGAACUGAAACACGGUCCAGACUCCUACGGGAGGCAGCAGUGGGGAAUUUUGCGCAAUGGGGGAAACCCUGACGCAGCAACGCCGCGUGGAGGAUGAAAUAUCUUGGUAUGUAAACUCCUUUCGAUGGGGAAGAUUAUGACGGUACCCAUAGAAGAAGCCCGGCUAACUUCGCGCCAGCAGCCGCGGUAA